rnacentral:rRNA from 1 species
ACAGCAGCAGCCACGGUAAUACAGAGGGUGCGAGCGUUAAUCGGAUUUACUGGGCGUAAAGCGUGCGUAGGCGGCUUCUUAAGUCGGAUGUGAAAUCCCUGAGCUUAACUUAGGAAUUGCAUUCGAUACUGGGAAGCUAGAGUAUGGGAGAGGAUGGUAGAAUUCCAGGUGUAGCGGUGAAAUGCGUAGAGAUCUGGAGGAAUACCGAUGGCGAAGGCAGCCAUCUGGCCUAAUACUGACGCUGAGGUACGAAAGCAUGGGGAGCAAACAGGAUUAGAGACCCGCGUAGUCCCUGUCUCUUAUAC